rnacentral:rRNA from 1 species
GAAGCCCCAGUAAACGGCGGCCGUAACUAUAACGGUCCUAAGGUAGCGAAAUUCCUUGUCGGGUAAGUUCCGACCCGCACGAAUGGUGUAACGAUUUGGAUACUGUCUCAACGAGAGACCCGGUGAAAUUAUAGUACCUGUGAAGAUGCAGGUUACCCGCGACAGGACGGAAAGACCCCAUGGAGCUUUACUGUAGCUUGAUAUUGGAUGUUGGUACAGCUUGUACAGGAUAGGUAGGAGCCUUGGAAGCCGGAGCGCUAGCUUCGGUGGAGGCGUCGGUGGGAUACUACCCUGGCUGUGCUGACAUUCUAACCUCGAACCGUGAUCCGGUUCAGGGACAGUGUCAGGUGGGCAGUUUGACUGGGGCGGUCGCCUCCUAAACAGUAACGGAGGCGCCCAAAGGUUCCCUCAGAAUGGUUGGAAAUCAUUCGUAGAGUGCAAAGGCAUAAGGGAGCUUGACUGCGAGACCUACAAGUCGAGCAGGGACGAAAGUCGGGCUUAGUGAUCCGGUGGUUCCGCAUGGAAGGGCCAUCGCUCAACGGAUAAAAGCUACCCUGGGGAUAACAGGCUUAUCUCCCCCAAGAGUCCACAUCGACGGGGAGGUUUGGCACCUCGAUGUCGGCUCAUCGCAUCCUGGGGCUGAAGUAGGUCCCAAGGGUUGGGCUGUUCGCCCAUUAAAGCGGUACGCGAGCUGGGUUCAGAACGUCGUGAGACAGUUCGGUCCCUAUCCGUCGCGGGCGCAGGAAAUUUGAGAGGAGCUGUCCUUAGUACGAGAGGACCGGGAUGGACACACCGCUGGUGUACCAGUUGUUCCGCCAGGAGCAUAGCUGGGUAGCUACGUGUGGAAGGGAUAAGUGCUGAAAGCAUCUAAGCAUGAAGCCCCCCUCAAGAUGAGAUUUCCCAUGGAGUUAAUCCAGUAAGACCCCUCAGAGAUGAUGAGGUUGAUAGGUCUGGUGUGGAAGCGUGGCGACACGUGAAGCUGACAGAUACUAAUCGGUCGAGGACUUAUCCAAU